GAUGAACGCUGGCGGCGUGCCUAAUACAUGCAAGUCGAGCGAACAGACGAGGAGCUUGCUCCUCUGACGUUAGCGGCGGACGGGUGAGUAACACGUGGAUAACCUACCUAUAAUACUGGGAUAACUUCGGGAAACCGGAGCUAAUACCGGAUAAUAUAUUGAACCGCAUGGUUCAAUAGUGAAAGACGGUUUUGCUGUCACUUAUAGAUGGAUCCGCGCCGCAUUAGCUAGUUGGUAAGGUAGCGGCUUACCAAGGCAACGAUGCGUAGCCGACCUGAGAGGGUGAUCGGCCACACUGGAACUGAGACACGGUCCAGACUCCUACGGGAGGCAGCAGUAGGGAAUCUUCCGCAAUGGGCGAAAGCCUGACGGAGCAACGCCGCGUGAGUGAUGAAGGUCUUCGGAUCGUAAAACUCUGUUAUUAGGGAAGAACAAAUGUGUAAGUAACUAUGCACGUCUUGACGGUACCUAAUCAGAAAGCCACGGCUAACUACGUG
rnacentral:rRNA from 1 species